CCACUAUUGGACGGAAGUUGUAUGUUACUAAGCCCAGACAGUGUAAAGUUGGAGCUGCUGACAAUCAUCUUCCCUAAUUCCGUUGAAAAAGUCUAUCUGUAGUAGGAGAAGAUACGGCCAACACAGAAAGCAGCAGAACUAAAAAAUGAGGAGGAGGAAAAGAAGAAGGAGGGGGAAGGAGACAUCUAAUUAAGUUAUUUAAGUCCCUAGGUCCAGCUAUGCCUGAAGGAGCCAUUAACUACUGGACUUUCCAGCUACCAGAGGGAUUUAGAACAGUGCUUGAUAACUUGUCAGAAUGCGGAGGAGAGAGAGCGUGAUGAAAAAAACACGAGGAGCUUACAUUCUUUCCAAUUCUUUUACAGCAGCAGAAACAAAACAACCAUCAGUAG
rnacentral:lncRNA from 1 species